UUGACCUCGGAUCAGGUAGGGAUACCCGCUGAACUUAAGCAUAUCAAUAAGCGGAGGAAAAGAAACCAACAGGGAUUACCUCAGUAACGGCGAGUGAAGCGGUAACAGCUCAAAUUUGAAAUCUGGCUCUUUCAGGGUCCGAGUUGUAAUUUGUAGAAGAUGCUUUGGGCAUUGCUCCGGUCUAAGUUCCUUGGAACAGGACGUCAUAGAGGGUGAGAAUCCCGUAUGUGACUGGUGGCAUUUGUCCGUGUAAAGCUCUUUCGACGAGUCGAGUUGUUUGGGAAUGCAGCUCAAAAUGGGUGGUAUAUUUCAUCUAAAGCUAAAUAUUGGCCAGAGACCGAUAGCGCACAAGUAGAGUGAUCGAAAGAUGAAAAGCACUUUGGAAAGAGAGUUAAACAGUACGUGAAAUUGUUGAAAGGGAAGCGCUUGCAACCAGACUUGCAGGUCGUUGAUCAUCCGGGGUUCUCCCCGGUGCACUCGGCGGCCUUCAGGCCAGCAUCGGUUUGAGUGGUGGGAUAAAGGCCUUGGGAAUGUGGCUCCUCUCGGGGAGUGUUAUAGCCCAAGGUGCAAUGCCGCCUAUUCGGACCGAGGACCGCGCUUCGGCUAGGAUGCUGGCGUAAUGGUUGUAAGCGACCCGUCUUGAAACACGGACC
rnacentral:rRNA from 1 species